GACGAACGCUGGCGGCGUGCUUAACACAUGCAAGUCGAACGGAAAGGCCCUGCUUUUGUGGGGUGCUCGAGUGGCGAACGGGUGAGUAACACGUGAGUAACCUGCCCUUGACUUUGGGAUAACUUCAGGAAACUGGGGCUAAUACCGGAUAGGAGCUCCUGCUGCAUGGUGGGGGUUGGAAAGUUUCGGCGGUUGGGGAUGGACUCGCGGCUUAUCAGCUUGUUGGUGGGGUAGUGGCUUACCAAGGCUUUGACGGGUAGCCGGCCUGAGAGGGUGACCGGCCAAAUUGGGACUGAGAUACCGCCCAGACUCCUACGGGAGGCAGCAGUGGGGAAUAUUGCACAAUGGGCGGAAGCCUGAUGCAGCAACGCCGCGUGCGGGAUGACGGCCUUCGGGUUGUAAACCGCUUUCGCCUGUGACGAAGCGUGAGUGACGGUAAUGGGUAAAGAAGCACCGGCUAACUACG
rnacentral:rRNA from 1 species